UACGUAGGGGGCAAGCGUUGUCCGGAAUUAUUGGGCGUAAAGCGCGCGCAGGCGGUCAAUCAAGUCCGGUGUUUAAACCCAAGGCUCAACCUUGGGUCGCACUGGAAACUGGUAGACUGGAGUGCAGGAGAGGAAAGUGGAAUUCCACGUGUAGCGGUGAAAUGCGUAGAGAUGUGGAGGAACACCAGUGGCGAAGGCGACUUUCUGGCCUGAAACUGACGCUGAGGCGCGAAAGCGUGGGGAGCAAACAGG
rnacentral:rRNA from 1 species